CGACGGGUGAGUAACACGUAUGCAAUCCACCUGUAACAGGGGGAUAAUCCGGAGAAAUCCGGACUAAUACCCCAUAAUAUGGGCGCUCCGCAUGGAGAGCCCAUUAAAGAGAGCAAUUUUGGUUACAGACGAGCAUGCGCUCCAUUAGCCAGUUGGCGGGGUAACGGCCCACCAAAGCGACGAUGGAUAGGGGUUCUGAGAGGAAGGUCCCCCACAUUGGAACUGAGACACGGUCCAA
rnacentral:rRNA from 1 species